AAAAUAAUUAGCUAAAAACAGCAGCUGAGCAAGUUGUUUCAUUUUGCCUUCAGGUUCACUAUAUAAAAACAUCAGCAGUUUCUAACUCUUUCAGUUUGGUAUUCUACGAUUCAGGAAUCGCUUCCUACUCAGCUAAACUUCUUAAAAUCUUGCUUUAUCCUAAACUCUUAAGGAGUUUAACAUAAAAAGGGACAAGCAGGAGAUCAGAAGAGUGCCAACUUCAGGAUGCCUUCUAUCAUAGGAUUACUCACAGGUGGACUGGGAUACGCCUUGGUGUGUGCUAUUUUAUUACUGUCCAGAUACCUGGGCAGAAUUGGCCAUGCCCGUUGAGAAAUGGAUCCUGCCAAUAUGCCUCAGAGGGAGCCCAGAAGACAUCUAAAAGCCACUCAAAGAAAAAUGAAGUGAAACCCACUAUGUAAUUACGCAAAUCUAAACAGCAUCUCUCACUGGAACCCAAAGAAGACCUUCUCCUUCUAGGCUUUCCCUUCUAGGAUCUCCCUUUCCUGACAAAUGAGGAAAUACCUUACCCAUUGCUUAUACCCUGAAUCUUGUGGUUUGAUUCAGUUUGAUAAAUCAUAGUCUAAUAAACAAGUAGGAAUGUAAUACGCGUUUAACCA
rnacentral:lncRNA from 1 species